AUUUUGAAGAUUCCAAAUACAAAGUCUUCCUCCAAGAUGUUGAAGCUCUCCCAAUUCCUUAAUGCUAGAUCCACUAUCCUUCCCUAGAAAAAAAUCAGUCAAUUUUUGGAGCCUUCUUAGUUUGCCCAUUUGUGAUGGCAUCUUUCCCAAUAUAGUCCAACUGAUAUCAAGAUGACAUAAGCUAACUAACCUCACCAUGUUGCUUGGCAACUCAUCAAGAAAUACACAAUAUGCCAAUAUUAAAAUUUGCAAAUUGUACAAACUGCAUAUGGUGUCAGGCAACCUUCUGAUAGAUGUUUUAGAGAGAUCUAGAUAUCGCAAAUGUUUCAAUUUGCCAAUUGAAUCAGGAAACCAAGUUAUGCUAUUAUAAUGUGAUAAAGACAGAACCCGUAGGCGCAUGAGUUUUGGCAACAGAUCAUCAGUUACCUCUGUAUCAAUGUGACUACCCCACCACUGCACUGCAUCCACAUGUAAGAAAGUGCGCAAAUAUUGAGCUUCAUAGACAUGCCCAAAUUUCUUAGAAGCAUCAUGCAGUGUUCUUGCAUAUGACAAAUGUCUUGUCCUUUUAGCAAUCUUAAAAGAAUUAUCACCCUCUAACCAGAAGAAAAAGUCUCCAGAUACAAAUUUAGCCAAGUCAUUUAUGAGGUCAUGCAUAAUGAAGCAUGAUUGAUCACCACUUGACCGCUGAAAAAAUGAUCUUGAUACGAGA
rnacentral:misc_RNA from 1 species